GACGAACGCUGGCGGCGUGCUUAACACCUGCAAGUCGAACGAAGUGGCGCACGGGUGAGUAACGCGUAAUCAACCUGCCCUUCAGAGGGGGACAACAGUUGGAAACGACUGCUAAUACCGCAUACUGAAGGAGGGGAUUGCGUCUGAUUAGCUCGGUGGAGUGGUAACGGCCCACCAAGGCGAUGCGCAGUAGCCGGUCUGAGAGGGUGAACGGCCACAUGGGGACUUGGACACUGCCCAGACUCCUGACGGAGGAAGCAGUGGGGAAUCUUCCGCAAUGGACGAAAGUCUGACGGAGCAACGCCGCGUGAGUGAUGACGGCCUUCGGGUUGUAAAGCUCUGUUAAUCGGGACGCGGUACCGGAAUAGAAAGCCACGGCUAACUACGUGCCAGCAGCCGCGGUAAUUC
rnacentral:rRNA from 1 species